rnacentral:misc_RNA from 1 species
UCACCCCUCAAGCCUCGUGCUUGGUGUUGGACGGCCGGUCGAGGACCCCCCUCGACCCCUCCUAAAGACAAUGACGGCGGCCUGUGGUUCCCCCGGUACACUGAGCUUCUCACCGAGCACGUACCGGACGAGGGCACCCAGGACCCGGUCCUCUCCUCCUCGUGGGGAAAUAUUUUACAAGG